AACGAACGCUGGCGGCAUGCCUAACACAUGCAAGUCGAACGAAGCCUUCGGGCUUAGUGGCGCACGGGUGCGUAACGCGUGGGAAUCUGCCCUUGGGUACGGAAUAGCUCCGGGAAACUG
rnacentral:rRNA from 1 species